UACAGAGGUCUCAAGCGUUGUUCGGAUUCAUUGGGCGUAAAGGGUGCGUAGGCGGCGCGGUAAGUCGGGUGUGAAAUCUCGGGGCUUAACUCCGAAACUGCAUUCGAUACUGCCGUGCUUGAGGACUGGAGAGGAGACUGGAAUUCAUGGUGUAGCAGUGAAAUGCGUAGAUAUCGUAAGGAAGACCAGUGGCGAAGGCGGGUCUCUGGACAGUUCCUGACGCUGAGGCACGAAGGCCAGGGGAGCAAACGGG
rnacentral:rRNA from 1 species